rnacentral:rRNA from 1 species
UACGAACUGUGCAAACGUUAUUCGGAAUCACUGGGCUUACAGGGUGCGUAGGCGGCUUGUUAAGUAGGGUGUGAAAGCCCCCGGCUCAACCGGGGAAUUGCGCCCUAAACUGGCGAGCUGGAGUGAGGUAGGGGUGUGUGGAACUUCCGGUGGAGCGGUGAAAUGUGUUGAUAUCGGAAGGAACGCCGGUGGCGAAAGCGACACACUGGAUCUUGUCUGACGCUGAGGCACGAAAGCCAGGGGAGCGAACGGG